GUGUAAUUCCAUUAAUGUAUACUAUAAAUCUGCAGAAAAACCCCUAUAGGCAAAAGUUGUGAAGGUGACAUACAGCAAAUCACCAGGCAGAACCUAUUUCUAAAAAGACCAAUGAGGUUAUUCACCAAACAGUAAAUUAGGAUGAACUGUAAUCCAAAUUACAACCUUUCAGGCUAAAAAAGCCAGCUAUAGAUAAAUGGGAGACUAUUUCCAAAUCGACUAUUUUAGGCUAGCCUAAAUUUUGCAAUUUUGGUUUUAAUUUACUAUAAUUCUCUGUUUAAUGAAUAAAUACCAAAAUAUCUCUAUGCUGUACAUUUCAGAUUAUUUGUUCCUUCACUCACUUUCCUGAUAAAAUCCAAAUAUUUUGUACUUUCC